rnacentral:lncRNA from 10 species
GACAAUAAGGAAGGGAAGAGAAGUGGUCCUCAAAUGAAAAUUAGGAUGUUAUCAUAGAAAGGAAGAGUGGAUGCUGCAGAGGAAAGAUAACAAAUGACUAUUACAAUGGUGUAAAAGGAAACCCAUAGAGAAGAAAGAUGACAGAAUGUCCCCACCUCAAAGGCCAGCUCCAGUUGAUUGCUCGUGGCUCUCUGGAAUGUCACAUUGAGAAAGUGUCUGAGACUAAGCCAAAGAAAAAUACAGUGUCAUAAUGGAUUAGAAAUGUCUGCCACGUGCUACAAAACUGUUGACUGCUAGACUACAAAACCCUGGACCAAACCAUCACCAGCUGUCUCCUGGAC